CCUACGGGAGACAGCAGUGGGGGAUAUUGGGCAAUGGGGGCAAGCCUGAUGCAGCGACGCCGCGUGGAUGAAGAAGGCUUUCGGCGUGUAAACCUCUAUUGUGAGGGACGAAGAUGACGGUACCUCAGCAAGAAGCCCCGGCUAACUACGUGCCAGCAGCCGCGGUAAUACGUAGGGGGCAAGCGUUAUCCGGAUUUACUGGGUGUAAAGGGGGUGUAGGCGGGAUUGCAAGCCAGAUGUGAAAGCUCGGGGCCCAACCCCGGGACUGCAUUUGAAACUGUCGUGCUUGAGUGCUGGAGGGGCAGGCGGAAUUCCGAGUGUAGCGGUGAAAUGCGUAGAUAUAAGGAGGAACACCAGUGGCGAAGGCGGCCUGCUGGACAGUAACUGACGUUGAGGCGCGAAGGCGUGGGGAGCAAACAGGAUUAGAUACCCGAGUAGUC
rnacentral:rRNA from 1 species